rnacentral:rRNA from 1 species
UACGUAGGGUGCGAGCGUUAAUCGGAAUUACUGGGCGUAAAGUGUGCGCAGGCGGCGCCGCAAGUCGAGUGUGAGAGCCCCGGGCUUAACUUGGGAAUUGCGCUCGAAACUAUGGUGCUGGAGUGUGGCAGAGGAAGGUGGAAUUCCACGUGUAGCGGUGAAAUGCGUAGAGAUGUGGAGGAACACCGAUGGCGAAGGCAGCCCCCUGGGCUAACACUGACGCUCAUGCACGAAAGCGUGGGGAGCAAACAGG